GUGUGGUAGCGACAGUAAUAUGUGUGCAACGAAGCUGAAAGCGGUGAUCAAUAAAGUUGCGCCAACCCUCGAAACCAUCUGCGAGACCACGAAAAAGGCCCAGAAAUGCUCAUAAAGGAAGCGCAGAUGAGUGAAUACCUUUCAGAAAUGCGAACUUUAAAACGAUGACGGCUUACUCAGAGCACGAGGAAGAGCCGAGAACUUGAGGUCUGGCGAUGCCAUCAUUCUACCACGUUUUUAAUAGUUCGCCAUUACCACCAGCAAAAUCAUCAUCAGUUUCACGAAGCUACU